GGUGAGGUGUCCGAGUGGUUGAAGGAGCACGCCUGGAAAGCGUGUAUACGUUAAUAGCGUAUCGUGGGUUCGAAUCCCACUCUCUCCGCAA
rnacentral:tRNA from 1 species